UACGGGGGGGGGCAAGCGUUGUUCGGAAUUACUGGGCGUAAAGGGCUCGUAGGUGGCCAACUAAGUCAGACGUGAAAUCCCUCAGCUUAACUGGGGAACUGCGUCUGAUACUGGAUGGCUUGAGUUUGGGAGAGGGAUGCGGAAUUCCAGGUGUAGCGGUGAAAUGCGUAGAUAUCUGGAGGAACACCGGUGGCGAAGGCGGCAUCCUGGACCAACACUGACACUGAUGAGCGAAAGCUAGGGGAGCAAACGGG
rnacentral:rRNA from 1 species